rnacentral:rRNA from 1 species
CGCAUCUGUGCAUGCAGCAUAUCAAUAAGCGGAGGAAAAGAAACUAACAAGGAUUCCCCUAGUAACGGCGAGUGAAGCGGGAAGAGCUCAAAUUUGAAAUCUUAAAGGGUUUCCCUUUACGAAUUGUAGUUUAAAGAAGUGUUUUCUGUUGAGGUUUUGGUAAAAGUUCUUUGGAAUAGGACAUCAUAGAGGGUGAGAAUCCCGUAUUUGACCUUUACUUUCAACUUUGUGAUACACUUUCAAAGAGUCGGAUUGUUUGGGAAUGCAGUCCAAAAUGGGUGGUAAAUUUCAUCUAAAGCUAAAUAUUGGCGAGAGACCGAUAGCGAACAAGUACCGUGAGGGAAAGAUGAAAAGAACUUUGAAAAGAGAGUUAAACAGUACGUGAAAUUGUCAAAAGGGAAGCGUUUGACACCAGUGUUGUUUUUCUGAAAAUCAAUUAAAGAACUGUUUAUGCUAAGUUGUUUAGACUUUAUCAGCUAACUGUUUAGUUUUGAGCUUUUCUUUAAUGCACUUUUCAGUUAACAAGUCAACAUCAAUUUCUUUUGCUGUAAAAAAGCUUGAGGAAGGUGGCUUGAGAUUCGUCUUAAGUGUUUAUAGCCUCUUGCCUAUGCAGUCGGAGAGAUUGAGGUCUGCAGCGUAGAUCCUUCGGGGCUAAAUGCAUUUGUGCUAAGUUAUAACAUUUUAUAGACAACUUGUUGACUAUGAUUUGUCUUGUAGCUUACUCGCUUAUGUUAUUUUACCUACGCUUAGGAUGUUGACAGCAGUAUAGACUGU